UACGGAGGGUGCGAGCGUUGUUCGGAAUCACUGGGCGUAAAGGGCGUGUAGGCGGUCCGCUAAGUCUGAUGUGAAAGCCCGGGGCUCACCCCCGGAAGUGCAUUGGAAACUGAUGGGCUGGAGUCCCAGAGAGGAGGGUGGAAUUCCUGGUGUAGCGGUGAAAUGCGUAGAUAUCAGGAGGAACACCGGUGGCGAAGGCGGCCCUCUGGACGGUGACUGACGCUGAGACGCGAAAGCGUGGGGAGCAAACAGG
rnacentral:rRNA from 1 species